CUCGUGGGCGGGGCGUUGCGUUGCACCGGGGCGGGGGUGUUUGCACGCCCGGUUGCACGGGGACGGUGCAAGGGGGGUUUUGCCCGUGGGGUUUUGCACGCGGGAUUUUGCACGCCCGGUUGCACGGGGACGGUGCAAGGGGGGUUUUGCCCGUGGGGUUUUGCACGCGGGAUUUUGCACGCCCGGUUGCACCGGGACGCUGCGAGGGGGGUUUUGCUCGGGGGCGUUUGCAUGUCCCAUUGCACAGGGUGGCUGCGGGAAUGGGUUUUUUUUGCACGCCCGGUUGCACCGGGAUGCUGCGGGGGGGUUUUGCCCGGGGGGGUUUGCACGCCCCGUUGCACGGGGUGGCUGCGGCUUGCACAGCUGGUUGCGCGGGGGUGCUGCGGGUGAGGUCUCGCACGUGGGGUUUGCAUGCUGCUUGCACCGGCGGUCUCCGGGCAGGGAUUUGCAUGCAGGGGCGUUGCUCACCCGUUUAGAUGCGGAGCUGCAGGCAGGGGUUUGCACGUGCAGUUUUGCACGCCCGGUCGCUCAGGGAGGCCUCUAGCUGAGGUUUUACACGCGGGUCGCUCCCCUGCUUGCAGGGGGGUUGCAGGCAGGGUUUUACACAUGGGGCUUUGCAUGCCCCGUUGCACCCUGCGGGGAUGGUUUUGCAUGCCCGGCCGCCCGGGGGGCUGCAGGUGGGGGUUUGCAUGCCCGGCUGCUCGGGGGGGCUCUCGGUGGGGUGUUGCAGGUGGGGUUUUUGCUCGGCCGGCUGCACGGGGGGGCUGCAGGCAGGGUUUUGCACGCCGGGUCGCAUGGCGCAUUGCACAGAGGGUUUUCCCUGCGCUGUUGCACGGGGGGUUGCAUGCCCCGGGGUUCCCUUUGCCCCGGUGGACAUGGAAACGGGCACUUCCAGCUUCGCUUCCCCGGCAGCGCUGCCUUUGCGGCUGCUCUGGUGCCUCCUCCGCGCGCCUGCACGCUGCACCACGGCUUUCUGGACGCGCAGCAAGCCCGAACCGCCCGCGGCUCUCGCGCUGGUGCACGGACGCCGUGGAGGCCUGGCCCCAACCGCGUCGCCCUUGCUGGCUCCCAGUUAAUCCCAGUUAGUCCUGACUAAACAGGAAACCAUCCCUCGUUGCGCUUGGCGAGAGCGCUGCAAAAAAGCUCGCCGAAGCGUUGGCUCGCAUCAAAAUUUGGGUCCCGAAAGAAGAUGCGGGAGGUGUUAGCUACCGGCCCCGAUGGAUGAGAAGCUCUGAACAUUUGUGCACUGCUGCUUUCAGCUGUGCAACACGGAGACGGCGACGUUUCGGCAAUGCUGGGAUGAGAAACCAUGGGAAUACGCUGGUGUAUUGUGGUUUGUAUAAACUGCGGAGAAAAUUUGUCUUUAGGGUUUCCAAAAAGGGUGUUUUCAAACCUGCCGGCCCUGCAGAGGGCAGCUUUGAGCUAUUUCCUGCAAAUUAUGAGCAAACCUUACUUUUUUAUUUGGUGAAACCAGGCUGAGUCCCCGGGGCCGUGCUUCACCCCUCGGCUGCUCCCAAAUGGCUCCCGGGGCCGGGCAAAAAACUGCAUCGUGCAAAACACCUCGAUUUGGGGACCAAAGCCCCCAAGCCGCGCCGUGCCCCCUCUUUCUGGGCGCAGCCGCGGAGGAUGUGAACGCAGCAGGUCCGUGCACGGGAGCGGCGGUGCUUCUCCAGCCGAUUUCUCCGCUGGGAAAAAGUCACCGAGCUCUGGCUGACGGCUGCCACUGCCCAAGCGAUCGUGUUUAACCCGCCGAGGUGUUUCUGGGCUGAAAUUGGCUGUUCCUGGCUUUUCAGGCCCGUCUGCCUUAGCGAGUGGUGCUAUUAGCAGGUCCGCAGAGCAGAGCGGCCCGUGCUGAUGUGCAGAAUGCAGCUUUUGGGGUUUUUCCGCUGCUUUUUGAGCAGCUCCCGUCCGCUCCCAGGGACCGAGCACCCGUUUUGGGGCCGGAUUGCCUUCAGCGCAUCCGAGAAAAGCCCGGUGCCCGGCUGCGGGGGGGUCCCGGUGGUGGGAAGCGCAAAUGGUGCUUCGAAAGCAGAAUAGCCCUUGAGGGACCUUCUGGUUCCUCCUUCCAUGAAGAUAACGAAAGUUUUUCAAAAAGCGAGGCGGGAAAUCCUCUUUGGCACUACAGCAGCCCGUCAGAAGGAGCUUUGGUCGCUCUCGGGAGUAAAACUAAGCAGCUGCUCGCGGUGCUGGGCCGGGCAGACCUUGCAGCGAGGAAGGUGCGAGCGCGUUGAAUCGGCGAGAGCGACUUGUUAAAGCGUUACGUGAUAUCCAGGGCGAUGCAGAAGGGUGGUGUCACCCCUUGGCUCCGGAUGCGUUGCCGAGGAAAAACUCGGUUUUGCUACGAGAAAGGAGAUUUUUUUCCCCCUAUUAGAAAAAUAGAAGUUAGGUGGCAGCGUAAUUACGGUGCAAGAAAGAAGUGUAUAUUAGCUAUUGAGCAUAUGCAAACUAUGAGAUCUGGUUGAAUGAUGUCAGCUUUGGAAAAGAGACGCUGUGGUUAUUUCCAAUUUCUUAUUACACUUUCUAUAAGCUCUCGCUAGCGAUGCUGGGGCUGUGCGGGGGGAGGCAGCAGGGAUCUGCCCCCUUUGGCCGCGUUCAGGCUUUUCUCAUGCAUCGUUGGGAUAAAUUACGGGUAAUCACUCACAUCUCUUAUGGGAAGGGCUGGUUAUUCAUUUAAUCACCUGUAUUUCUGUAAGUCUGCGAUAGUGAUAAGGCAAAGGCGUACCUUAUCUUAACGGAGCAACUUAAGUAUUGCUGUUUUACCCUUUCUGUCUGUCCUUGAAGCGUGCUGUAAAGCUAAUGCAGGUUUUAUUGUACAAAUUAGCUUUUCAUGCCUCCUGUGAUUAGGUUUCACUUUGAAAUCUGUUGUUCUGGUCGUCGCUGUGCAGGACACCGCGGCUGGGCGACGGUGCUGGUGAUCGUUAAUGAACGUGGCGUGUUGCAAGCUUCAUGCACGUGCUUUAUUCUCACUGCUUUCUCCAUUACAGGGUUAAUCUCGGCUCUUGAGCAAGUUCAGAAAUCGAUUCCGAGUGAUUACAGGCAAAGGUUAACGCUGCUUUGGACUUUCCUAGCAGCUCCCGCGAUAGUGCAGCAAAGAGCCGGGAGGUGGCAGUGGCCAGCAGCGGAUUUCGGUCCCCGGAGCUCCGGCGCGUCCCUGCGAAACGCUUGCUCCUGCUUCGUGUCCGCCGCAGCGGCCCCGGUGUGGAGCCGGGUGACCCGGGACGCGCUCGCACGGUGCCUUCCCGCUCGGCCGGUCCCUCGCGCCCCUCGGAGUUCUCCUUUCUUUGCUCACUUCUCCAAUUUUUAGGUGCUUCUUGAAACUUGUGCUCGCGACCGCGGGCCGCGUUGGUCCUCGCUCUCCAUCACGCAGCAGGUGCAAGAAAUGGAGUUAAGAAAAAUUACGGAAAAUAACUUAGAGCUUACACCGUGGUUUAAGUGCUUUAAAAUCCGCCUUUUGAGGGGACGAGUGCUACGCGAGUGCAUUUCUUUUGUUUUCCCGUUCUGCUCUCGAGCAGGGCUGUUUCCUGGUGCCUUCCAGCGGUGCAACAGCUGGAAACGAGACGUCGCUGUCGGUCGCCCUGCAAACGUCGCGGGGACGGCUCCCGGCACGGCUCGGUCCUAAAGCUAAGGCGAAAACAGCCUGCGGAGAGGGAGCCCUGAUGCUGCUGAGAUUUUUCCACUCCAAGAGAAGAUGCUGGGAGUUGGGGUGGAAAAAAGGCGCCCGUUAACCACGCGCAUUUCUCUGGUGCUUCCUGCAAGGAAGGACCCCUUCGUUUUGGGGAGGAGGAAGGGAAACUCGGCUUACCUCCUCGUAGGAGUACAUGGUCGGUAUUAACGUAGUGUUCUCGGAGUAAUAUUCUACGGUCGCGUAUAAGUAGUCGCCUGGAACGACAGCACAGCCCCGUUCCUUAAAAAGAAAAAGAUGGUUUAUCUUACGGCUUAAGCGGAGAUUCCCGAGGAGCCGGCUUGCCCCCCGCCCGCGGGAUACGGCUUCACACGGAUGGUUUCCUUGAUUUAUUGGCGCUUUGUGGCGAAACUCGGCCCCUCGUGGGAGCAACGCGCUGGCAAUCUGGCCCGUGAUUAAAUCCCCGACUUGGGAGCGGGAGAUACCGCUCCCUCCGGACCCACCCCGAGCACCGUGCAGCAUCUCGCCGAAACGCCGCGGCGCUUCCCCGAGGUCGGCACGAGCCGGGACAGCGGAGCGUACUCACCCAGGCCGAAACGGAGCGCCAGGACGGCCGCGAGCAGCAACUAAAAGGGAGCAGAAGUGAAGAACUGCGUCUUGCAGCUCCCCACCGCGGUGCGUGUUUCGCCCCAGGGCCGCUUCCCACCGCCGGAGCGAAGGGUUAAGCGGGAGGAAUGCGAGCGGCCGCGCAAAAACCGCCUGGAAAAGCACGUUCCCCGGCCGAGCAGAGCUCUGACCUCGCAGGAGAGCUUCCCUGGGGAGCCAGCGCGCGUGGGCAGCCGAGGGACGGAGCCCGGAAGAGUUAAAACACGACGGUUUAAAAGCUGAAACUCAGCGAUUCCUUUUUGGCGUUAGGGCAGUACCCUGGGGUGCACACAUUAGCAAAUUCUGGACUAAAACCUUAAUUUUUCUGUAAAAAAAGCUAUCCUGUGAGCCCAGGGCACCCCAGUGUCCAUCAUUUCCCCCUCAUUUUGCUUAUGAUUUUAGAGACUGAACGUAGAUGUGGAUUUGGGUUGCAUUUCUGGCUGCGAAAAAGCAAUUGCUCUUUAAUUUGGUUUUCCUCUUAGCUUUUAUCCUUGCUUGCUUUGACCAUCCCACGCUGGAGGACAAACCAUCAUCCAACGCGCGGCCAAAAAAGGCAACAAUAAGCAAUGGCUUUUCCAUCUCCGGCACCACACUCCUUUUUAAAUCAAAUUUGUCGAAAAACCACAUCAUUUAAAAUCGAAUUCCUCUUUCGCGUGAUGCGGGCUGGAACUUUGUGCCUUUUUUUCCUUUGAAGCGCCCUGAAACGUUUUGCUCCCGGAAAAACCCCAGUCGCUGAGCUUUUACAUCCUGCUCAGCCAAACCUGUAGCGCCGGGUGAGUCCGGUCCCGGGGGCAGAUUUUGGGGAGAAACGCGGCGAAACGCCGUUGCUUUACGCCAGGAAUGCCGGGCAGCGUACAGACACCGCUGAGCCACCCCUCGCACGCGGAUGCAGAACGUCAUUUCCCAGGUUUAAUGGGAGGAAGCCGCCUGAAGGGGAAUAUUAAAAAAGAAAAAAAGGAAGAAAACAACAAAACGGGGCCGGUAAAUGGGACCGGGCUGCUGAUAAUACCGCGGGGGCGGAAGUCGCCGCACGCGGACGGCGAGAAGAUGGAUGAAUACAUCACACCCCGGGCGUGGGAAGGAAGCGGAUUCAUCCAUCCCCCCCGCGCUGCCCCAGACGCAGAUUGGGGCCGCGUGGGAAGCGUUUCGGCUCGGCCGGCGAAGGGAUGUUCAUCGCCCUGCUCCCGUUGCCCCCCCGGAGAUGCUGCUGCAACGACGCCCGAGACCGGCCCCGAACCGCGACGUUUCCCAGCGCUUCGUGCGCCGGAUGCGGGAGCAGAAAAAGAUGAAGACGGCACCGCAUGGGACUGCAGCAAGGCUAAUGAACCCCGGACAUCCGUAGUGACACCUGGAUACGGAGCGCAGCACUCGGCCUCGCAGCCUUUCCCGCGGCCCCGUCCUUGGCAUGAAGCACGGGAAAAGCAGCAGGAGCAACGGCUGAAAUGCAGCUUUGCUUAAUUCGGCGAGUUUAACGGCUUUUUUUACCCCACCUUGUUCAACGGCAGCUCUCGCAAUGGUGAACGCAAUAAUUUGAUGAAAAUCUGAGACUUUGGUCGCCAGGAAAUCA